AGGAUAAGCUGUCCUACCGCCACGGUUUUUACCGGGGAGGAAAGUCCGGGCAGCGCAGAGUACCGUACUUCCUAACGGGAAGGCAGCAAACCGGUGACGAUUUGCUGACAGCAAGUGCCACAGAAAAGAUACCGCCUUGGCAUGUUUUUUAUGUAUCAGGGUAAGGGUGAAAUGGUGGAGUAAGAGCCCACCGCUCUCUGGGUAACCAUUGAGGCAGGGUAAACCUUACGGGCUGAAAGAUCAAAUAGGUGUCAGUUUGCGGAGUUACUCGCUCCCGUUUCUAACGCUGGCACGGGUAGAUCGUUAGAGAUUCCGGGUGACCGGAAUCCCGGAUAAAUGGUAGGAACCUUUUAGUUUGUAAAAGAUACAGAACCCGGCUUACAGGCUUGUCCUUUUU
rnacentral:RNase_P_RNA from 1 species